rnacentral:tRNA from 1 species
GCGCUCGUAGCUCAAUUGGAUAGAGCAAUAGAUUACGAAUCUAAAGGUUGUGGGUUCAAAUCCUUCCGUGCGUA